rnacentral:rRNA from 1 species
GUCUUUUAGUAUAUAAAUUUAAAGUCUAAUCUGCCCAUUGAUAAAAAUUGAAUGGCCGCAGUAUUUUAACUGUGCAAAGGUAGCAUAAUCAUUAGUCUUUUAAUUGAAGGCUGGAAUGAAUGAUUGAACGAGACAUACACUGUCUUAUUUAUAUAGAUUGAAUUUUAUUUUUUAGUUAAAAAGCUAAAAUUUUUAUAAAAGACGAGAAGACCCUAUAGAUCUUAAUAAUUUUUUAAUUUAUUUUUUUAGGUUUAUAUUAAAAUUAAUUAAUAAAAUUAUUUUAUUGGGGUGAUAUCAAAAUUUAAAAAACUUUUGAUAAUUUAUUUUCAUAAAUUAAUGAAUUUAUUGAUCCUUUAUUAUUGAUUAAAAAUUUAAGUUACCUUAGGGAUAACAGCGUAAUUAUUUUGGAGAGUUCAUAUCGAUAAAAUAGAUUGCGACCUCGAUGUUGGAUUAAGAUUAAUAUUAGGUGUAGCAGUUUAAUAUAUUAAGUCUGUUCGACUUUUAAUUUCUU